GACUCUUGGCAACGGAUAUAUCGACUCUCGCAUCGAUGAAGAACGUAGCGAAAUGCGAUACCUGGUGUGAAUUACAGAAUCCCAUGAACCAUCGAGUCUUUGAACGCAAGUUGUGCUCGAGGCCAUCCGGCUAAGGGCACGCCUUCCUGGGCGUCA
rnacentral:rRNA from 15 species